rnacentral:rRNA from 1 species
GUGUCAGCCGCCGCGGUAAUACGAAGGUCCCAAGCGUUGUUCGGAAUCACUGGGCGUAAAGGGUGCGUAGGCGGCAUGGCAAGUCAAAUGUGAAAUCCCGGGGCUCAACCCCGGAACUGCAUCCGAUACUGCCGUGCUUGAGGACCGGAGAGGAGACUGGAAUUCUCGGUGUAGCAGUGAAAUGCGUAGAGAUCGAGAGGAACACCCGUGGCGAAGGCGAGUCUCUGGACGGUUCCUGACGCUGAGGCACGAAGGCCGGGGGAGCGAAAGGGAUUAGAUACCCCUGUAGUCCCGGCAGUAAACGGUGCGCGCUUGGUGUGGGAGGAUUCGACCCCUCCUGUGCCGGAGCCAACGCGUUAAGCGCGCCGCCUGGGGAGUACGGCCGCAAGGCUAAAACUCAAAGAAAUUGACGGGGACCCGCACAAGCGGUGGAGUAUGUGGCUCAAUUCGAUGCAACGCGAAGAACCUUACCCGGGCUUGACAUGCAUCUAUCAGCGCGUGAAAGCGCGUGACCCUUACGGGGAUUUGCACAGGUGCUGCAUGGCCGUCGUCAGCUCGUGUCGUGAGAUGUUGGGUUAAGUCCCGCAACGAGCGCAACCCCUGUGUCCAGUUGCCAGCGCGUGAUGGCGGGGACUCUGGACAGACCGCCCAGAUCAACUGGGAGGAAGGUGGGGACGACGUCAGGUCAGUAUGGCCCUUACGCCCGGGGCUGCACACGUACUACAAUGCCCAGCACAGUGAGAACCGAUGCCGCGAGGCGGAGGAAAUCUGCAAAACUGGGCCCAGUUCGGAUUGGAGGCUGCAACUCGCCUCCAUGAAGCCGGAAUCGCUAGUAAUGGCGCAUCAGCAACGGCGCCGUGAAUACGUUCCCGGGUCUUGUACACACCGCCCGUCACAUCAUGGAAGCCGGUCGCACCCGAAGUGCAUGCACCAACCGCAAGGAGGCAGUGCCCUAAGGUGUAGCUGGUAACUGGGGAUGAAGUCGUAACAAGGUAGCC